UUCCCAUCAUGGCUCAGCAGAAAGGAAUCUGACUAGUAUCCAUGAGGAUGCAGGUUCAAUCCCUAGCCUCACUCAGUGGGUUAAGGAUCCGGUGUUGCCAUGAGCUGUGGUGUAUAGACCACAGACACGCCUCGGAUCCCGAAUUGCUGUGGCUGUGGUGUAGGCCAGCGGCUACAGCUCCAAUUCAUCCCCUAGCCUGGAAAUCUCCAUAUGCUGUGGAUGCGGCCCUAAAAUGACAAAAACAAACAAACAAACAGAAAGCAUAAAACUACUAGAGGCAAACAUAGCCAGAACAUCCUUUGACAUAAUCACAGCAGUAUCUAUUUUUUUUUAAUCUAUCUCCAAAGCAAAAGGAAAUAAAAGCAACAAACAAACAAACAAACAAGUGACCUAAUUGAAUCUAAAAGUUUUUGCACAGCAAAGGAAACCAUCGACAAAACAAAAAGACAAUCUACAGAAUGGGAGAACAUAUUUGCAAAUGAUAUGACAGAUAAUGGGUAAAUAUCCAAAAUAUAUAAACAGCUCAUACAACUCAACAUAAAAAAAAAGAAAAACCAAGCCAAUUAAAAAAGAGAAGAGGGGAGUUCCCAUUAUGGCUCAGUGGUUAACGAAUUCUACUAGGAACCAUGAGGGUGCAGUUUUGAUUCCUGGCCUUGCUCAGUGGGUUAAGGAUCCGGUGUUGCCGUGAGCUUGCAGGGUGCAGACGCUGCUCAGAUCUGGUGUUGCUGUGGCUGUGGUGUUGGCUGGCAGCCGUAGCUCCAAUUGGACCCCUAGCCUGGGAACCUCCAUGUGCCACGGGUGCAACUCUAAAAAAUAAGUAACAAUAAAAUAAAAAGACUGGUUCGCGGAGUUCGUGUCGUGGCUCAGUGGUUAACGAAUUCUACUAGGAACCAUGAGGUUGCGGGUUCAAUCCCUGGCCUUGAUCAGUGGGUUAAGGAUCCGGUGUUUCCGGGAGCUGUAGUGCAGGGUGCAGACGCUGCUCAGAUCUGGUGUUGCUGUGGCUGUGGUGUUGGCUGGCAGCCGUAGCCCCAAUUUGAACCCUAGCCUGGGAACCUCCAUAUGCCCCGGGAAGCGGCCCUAGAAAGGGCAAAAAGACACACACACACAAAACUAAAUGGGAAAAUACAAAUCCCAGCCCCUCCCUAAGCCAUAAAACCCAAGAACAACAGGAUGGAUUCAGAGCAGAUAUGCUCCAGCACUGAGAAGGGCCCAGGUGUCUCUGCAGAAGGGAUUCAGAAAGACCAUUACCCUCAUCUCAGAAUGUUAAUCGGGACCUCAGGUGAGAACAAUAACUUGGCCCCAUACAGUUCCCCCCUUUGCAGGUGCAGCCACAUUUCUCAAGCUGAGCUGCCCAAGUUACAGCUGAAGUCAAAGACAGAGUCCUCAAGCUAGAAACCCAAUAUGCUCACACAUGUUCAGCACCUACAGACUUUCAGAAGCUUCUAGUAUGCAUCAGGCUCAAGACAUAAAAUCUCUUGGCUUCUCUCUGGCUGUAUUUUGAACCACCAGAUCGAAGGAGCUGCCCACCCCAUGCCAGAGACCAUAGGCCGUGCGUCCCUGGCCAUACAAACUAGACAGGGAGCAAGAUAAGAGCACAGACGCACCCAUGAUGGAUAUGGAGUAUGAAGGAGAAAUAAACCUGUCAAGAUACAGAUAUUUGGGUGUUAACACAGCAUGGCCUGGCCUAUCCUGGCAUUGCUAGUCAUUAAUAAUACUGAAUUCCCUACCCACCCCCUCACUGUCCCUAGAACACUGGGGAGUAUAUACUUUAGACUUUGUUGUAGAUGAUACCAACAUACACGUAGUUUUCAAAUGGUUUGUAAAUCAAAACCACAAUGAGAUACCACCUCUCAUCUAUUAGAAUGGCAGCCAAAGACAGCAAAGACUAAGAAUGUGGAGAAAAGGGAACCCUGUGCACUGUUGAUAGAAUGUAAAUUGAUGCAUUACGGAAAACAGUAUGGAAUUUCCGCACAAAUUUUUUUGUGUCUUUUCUUUUUUAAGGGCUGCACCCGCGGCACAUGGAGGUUCCCA
rnacentral:lncRNA from 1 species